CCCGCCCUCCGCGGUGCUAAACUAACGGAGUCCCCAUGGAUUGCCGGGGUCUGUGCUGAGCCGUCCAAGCGCGGCCCAGCAGAGCGCCUGAAAUCUCCACCUUGCCCAGGAGUAAGGACCUUGCUUCACUACCCCGGGCGGGCGAGGCCGCUAUCCGUAUAGAGGACAAGAGCUUGAGGAGAAAAAGAAAGCAACGUGUCAACUCUGAGAGGCUGGGCUCAAUUCCUGGUGCAUGCUGGGAGAUUGUGCUGUGGCUUCCUUGCCUCUGACCUGGACUACUGGCAGCCUGCCUGGACUUCUGAGGAAACUGAGGCUCCAAAGCAAGUCACAGAUACAAGAAAUCUGUCUACUCCAAGAAGACGUGCCAGGUGUGUGGAAGAUGAACAGCAAUGCGAGACCACACAUGGUGACUCAUGGUAAGGAAUGAAGAGGGCUCUGGCAAGUGCAGGCUGCAUGCUCUGCAGAGCUGGGAGCCAUAUCUGAGUGGGCUGUAAGUGUUGGCUUAAAGGGGAUGGAAAAGCUCUUGGCAUCAUAAACAUGACAUGAUUCUAUCGCACACCUACCUGGCUCUCAGGCUCUGAUGUGUUGUACCCUGUGCUUUAGCCUGAUUGUUAUGUGAAUUCCCAGAGUCUGGAGGAUGAAUAGAAAGUAUGGGACAUCUGGGAAGUACCGAGUCACCAUCAGGCCAAGUCAGAUCAAGUCACCAUCAGACACAGACUGAAUGUUGAUUGUUUGUCUACAUCAAGAGAGCCUUUGGUUAGGUACACAGCAAGAAGCAUGCAGAGCCUUUUCUGAAUGGCUCAAGCUGUGACUGUUAGAAUAUAUGAGCACUGGACUUUUUGGUUUUUCUUAAAAGGAAUGAGUCAGGUAUGAUCAUGCAUAGGUAGAAUCCCAGCACUUGGGAAGCUGAGGCAGGAAGAUCUUGAGUUCAAAGCCAGCCUAGGCAACAUAGGGAGACCCUGUUUCAAAAAUAGAGAAGAUCUGUUCCAGCUGCUUUCUCAUACUGUGAUGGAGUACUUCCUGCCAGGAACUGGAAUUCACUGAUGUGCAAUUCUUUUGCUCUGGAAAGGGCCAGAAUCAGGACUUGCUUCAUCUCUUUCAAUGUCUUACUUUUGGUGCUUUGCAAGUAGAAGAUAAUUUGUAUUCUUCUGGGCAUGAAAAAGUAAGAAGCAUAAUGAAAGAGACUAUGUAAGAAUCAACCCUUCUAUUUGUACACAGAGCAAAUAUUUAAUGAACACCUAUUUUGUGUCAGGUAAAUUGGCAGAUAAUUACUAAGCAAUAAGAACGCAAAGAGAAUGACUUUUGUAUGCACUUAUUUUAUUUUUGAGACAGAGCCUCACUUGUCAAAGCUGACCUUGAAUAUCUGAGCUCAAGCCUCCUGCCUCAGCCUCAUUAACAAUGAGGACUGCAGGUACCUGCCACCAAACCUGUCUAUUGCAUGUGCAUUUUAAACCACUUACAGGUGAUUCAACUGGAUUAAACAUCCCUGUAGAAAAACAGUAAAUAUGUUCAUUUAUUCAUAUGCCAGCAUGUGCAGGGAACAACUUUGCAGUAAGGUGCCCUAUUUUAAUACCAACACUGUUAAAAAUGGCAUCUUCGGGGGAUUUUCUCUUUCUAUGUUGCACACAGUUGUAGUAUUCUAGUUUAUUAUAACUAACAAGCUUUACAUUCAUAACUAGAGUAAAACCAAUAAAUUUUUUUAAAAUAGUUAUUUUAAUGGGAAGAAAAGUUGACAAUACCAAGUGUAGGAAGAAAUGUGGGAGGUUGGGAACACGCCCUCCCCAGCUGGGAGUGUAAAUUGGCGUAAUUUGGAGAAGGAUGCAAAGCACAUGCCCUCUAACCCAGCCAUUCCUUCCUCACCCAGAGUGUACUCUAGAGGAAUGCACCAGAUUGGUGCACACAUGCACAAGAUAUCAGCCACAGCACCAUUUGUGAUGGUAAAGGAAAAGAAAGUCUCCUAGCACAUCAGGCUGAGGGGGAGUAUGUGUGUCAUGGCCUGUUCUCACGAGGCAGCCAUCUACCACCAUUAAGUAUGAAUGAACACCGCCAUACAAGUAUAACAUAGGUGAAUAGUGAAAAUAGUGUAAAAAGCAAAUAACUAUGGCCAGGUGUGGUUGGCAUAUGCCUCUAACCCCAGCUCUAAGAAGGCUCAGGCAGGAGAACUGUCACCAGUUUGAGGUCAACCUGGGUUACAUAGUGAGUUCAAAGCCAGCCUUACUACAUAGCAAGUUCCUAUCUCAAAACCUCCCAAAAGUUAAAAAUAAAAAUAAAAGAAAGUAGCAAGUGCCAUUAUGAUAUGUAAGAUCCAGAUUUGUGUAAUUUUUUAACACCCAGACCAAUGUUUGCUGUAAUUCUAUUUAUUGCUUACAGAACCAGAUUAAAUAAUAAAAAAAUUGAAGACUA